rnacentral:misc_RNA from 1 species
AAGUCGUAACAAGGUUUCCGUAGGUGAACCUGCGGAAGGAUCAUUAACACGUUUCGUUCCGAACGUUUUUGACCCAUCUCUUAUUAUCCGUGCACCCCUCGCGUCCGGCCUCCCAGCCGCUCACUGGGUUUACUCAGUGUUGCCUGUUGGGCGUCUUCGGGAUCCAAGGUAAAGCUUGCAAGUGGAAACAUUUCGAGCUUUUGCCUCCUGAACGGCGUUGCCACCCAACCCAAACCCUUUAAUCUAACUGAUCUGAACUUUUAGUUGACUUUAUUCGGGUUCACGCCCGCUUGAAUCAACGACUUGAACAAACAACAACUCUUAACAACGGAUAUCUUGGUUCUC